AUGAAGAGACUUCAGGUCAGGAAAGCCUGAACUUUCUCAUCUAACACCUGUUCAAGUCGGAGGAUGCUGAUUAAUUCAUGAUGGAAAGGUAUCAAUUUCACAGCCCAGACUUCUACAUUCUUGAAAUGCUGUUCUCAUGGGAGACAUUAAAUAAGCUUUGAAAUAACUAAAAAUAUCCAACCCGGGCAGGAUAAUACUGAUCAUCCUGAGGAUAUUGCCCUUGGAGUUAAUUUUUUGAGAGAAAUAAAACAAGAAACAUCAUAAGACACAAACCCCAAGCAACUGAUCUCACUGUCAAAAUCCAACCUGAGAACAAUGGAAUGGGAAGCUGCAUAAAACACCAGCGAGCUGUAUCCCAACAGCAGAUUGCACUCUCUAGAAGAAAAUUCUGAGAAAAAAAUUCAUAUGCAAGAAAUUUACUGGGGAGUGCUCUCAGACUCUGAAGUGUGAAGAAAAAGGAUUGGACAGGGCUAGUAGAAGUCUAUAUGUUGUGGUGGAAAACAACCUCAGCCCUGUAAUCCAACAUUUGCCUAUCAAAACUUGUCCUGUGAUUUACAAAACUAGAACCUCACUGCAUGUACCUUUGGAGUCCUGAGCCACAAAGUAAGAAACUCAGCUACCCUGAUGCUGUCAUAUUAAAGAGACUAUCUGGAAAAGCCACAAAAAGAUAGAGAAAGAUGCUAAAGGGGCCUCUGCUGUUCUGGCCCCCACCUAAUUGAGCCAUCAGACAGCAUCAACCAUCGGAUAUAUGAAUGAACAAGCCUUCAGGUGAUUCCAGUCCCACCUACAAUCUGAUUCAGCCAUAUAGAGACU
rnacentral:antisense_RNA from 1 species